CAACCUUCUCUAGAUAACACAGCAUGUAUACUGCCGUUGUAAGCACACCCCUAAAAGAAUAGUGUGCCGCCAUGACUAUUAAUAAACUCAUAUACAUCAGGUCAAAGUGCAGCCAAUAAGAAGGUGAUGAUGGGUUACAACCCAAAAAAAGACUAUCAACUAAGAAAUAAAAAAUCUUAAGAAAGUGGACUUGGCCGUAAUUAAUUACAAAGUUAAAAAAAUGAAUAAUAUCUAAGACAUGCACACAUCGCCCGUCACUCUAUCCAAAAGGAUAGAUAAGUCGUAACAAAGUAGGUGUAAUGGAAAUUGUACCUGUCGGAGUAUAGCAUAUAUAAUGCUUUUUAUUUACACUAAAAAUAAAGUUAGAUAACUUACUUCGCACACACACUACAACCCUAUAAAUUAUUUAUGAUAAAAACAUAUAAACAAAUCUAUAUACCAAAAUUAAUAGUACAGAAAUGGAAAAUACCAAUAAAUAAAAGUAAUCUUUAACAAAUGUACCUUGUGCAUUAUGGUUUUACAAGAAACUCAUUAAAUAUAUUAAUCCCGAAUUCUAAGUGAGAUGUUAAAUUGCUGCUAAGAACUUAUUAAUUGCUGUAGAAAAAGCUUUAAAAGACAAUUUAACAGGGGCUACAUACCACCCGCAUAAGAAUAUAGCUGGUUUUCAACAAACAUUAUAUAUUAAAACAUAUAAUUAAAUUAUAGUGUAAUAUUAUUGAGGAUAAGCCCAAUAAUCUAAGUAAUAAACGUAAAUAGUCCAUUUAUGCCCAUAGGCCUAAAAUCAGCCAACAAAAGUACUUUACCGUAAUAAAUAUUGACAUAAUUCAUCUUACAACAUAUGCUAAACAAAGUUGAAAUAGUGGGCAAAUCACUAAACCCACCUAUACUAUGUAAAAAUAAGUAUUAUAAAACUAUAUAUAACAUAAAUUAAAAAUUAACAACAGAAAAACAAGUAAUAGUUAAUUAAGGAACUCGGCAAACCAUUAUUUCGACUGUUUAACAAAAACAUUGUUCAAUGAAUAAGAUAUUGAAUAA
rnacentral:rRNA from 1 species